AGUCGAACGGAGCACCCCUUGAUUGAGGUUUCGGCCAAAUGAUAGGAAUGCUUAGUGGCGGACUGGUGAGUAACGCGUGAGGAACUUGCCUUUCAGAGGGGGACAACAGUUGGAAACGACUGCUAAUACCGCAUGACGCAUUUUGAUCGCAUGGUCGAAAUGCCAAAGAUUUAUCGCUGAAAGAUGGCCUCGCGUCUGAUUAGCUAGUUGGCGGGGUAACGGCCCACCAAGGCGACGAUCAGUAGCCGGACUGAGAGGUUGACCGGCCACAUUGGGACUGAGAUACGGCCCAGACUCCUACGGGAGGCAGCAGUGGGGAAUAUUGGGCAAUGGGCGCAAGCCUGACCCAGCAACGCCGCGUGAAGGAAGAAGGCUUUCGGGUUGUAAACUUCUUUUAAGUGGGAAGAGUAGAAGACGGUACCACUUGAAUAAGCCACGGCUAACUACGUGCCAGCAGCCGCGGUAAUACGUAGGUGGCAAGCGUUGUCCGGAUUUACUGGGUGUAAAGGGCGUGCAGCCGGGCAUGCAAGUCAGAUGUGAAAUCUCAGGGCUUAACCCUGAAACUGCAUUUGAAACUGUAUGUCUUGAGUGCCGGAGAGGUAAUCGGAAUUCCUUGUGUAGCGGUGAAAUGCGUAGAUAUAAGGAAGAACACCAGUGGCGAAGGCGGAUUACUGGACGGUAACUGACGGUGAGGCGCGAAAGCGUGGGGAGCGAACAGGAUUAGAUACCCUGGUAGUCCACGCUGUAAACGAUGGAUACUAGGUGUGCGGGGACUGACCCCCUGCGUGCCGCAGUUAACACAAUAA
rnacentral:rRNA from 1 species